rnacentral:rRNA from 1 species
ACAGCAGCAGCCACGGGAAUACGAAGGGGGCUAGCGUUGUUCGGAAUUACUGGGCGUAAAGCGCACGUAGGCGGAUAUUUAAGUCAGGGGUGAAAUCCCAGAGCUCAACUCUGGAACUGCCUUUGAUACUGGGUAUCUUGAGUAUGGAAGAGGUGAGUGGAAUUCCGAGUGUAGAGGUGAAAUGCGUUGAGAUCGGAAAGAACACCAACGGCGAAAGCACUCUGCUGGGCCGACACUGACACUGAGAGACGAAAGCUAGGGGAGCAAAUGGGAUUAGAUACCCGCGUAGUCCCUGUCUCUUAUAC